CCCUCCAAUCAGUGAAACUGAUCUCCCCGUGAAGAAGCGGGGAUACAAAUAUAAGACGAGAAGACCCCAUGGAGCUUUAAACCCAACAGCACCCGUUUAUUUUCAUCCUCACAUAAGUUAGGUUAUGCCUGUUUGGUUUUAGGUUGGGGUGACCACGGAGUAUAAAACAACCUCCAUGAAAAAAGGACCAAAAAUCCUUAUUAGAGAAAGACAUUUCUAAAAUUAAUAAAUUAAUUUUUAAUGAUCCGAUAUUCGAUCAACGAACCAAGUUACCCUGGGGAUAACAGCGCAAUCCACUUCAAGAGCUCCUAUCGACAAGUGGGUUUACGACCUCGAUGUUGGAUCAGGGUAUCCUAGUGGUGCAGCAGCUACUAACGGUUCGUUUGUUCAACGAUUAAAACCCU
rnacentral:rRNA from 1 species